rnacentral:rRNA from 1 species
UACAGAGGGUGCGAGCGUUAAUCGGAAUUACUGGGCGUAAAGCGUGCGCAGACGGUUGCGUAAGUCAGAUGUGAAAGCCCCGGGCUUAACCUGGGAAGAGCAUGCCUAACUACUUAACUAGAAUACAGGAGAGGGUAGCGGAAUUUCCGGUGUAGCGGUGAAAUGCGUAGAGAUCGGAAGGAACGUCAGUGGCGAAGGCGACUACCUGGACUGAUAUUGACGCUGAAGCACGAAAGCGUGGGGAGCGAACAGG